GACGAACGCUGGCGGCGUGCUUAACACAUGCAAGUCGAGCGGAAAGGCCACUUCGGUGGUACUCGAGCGGCGAACGGGUGAGUAACACGUGAGUAAUCUGCCCCUGGCUUUGGGACAGCCACCGGAAACGGUGAUUAAUACCGGAUACGACCACUUCUCGCAUGGGAUGGUGGUGGAAAGUUUUUUCGGCCAGGGAUGUGCUCGCGGCCUAUCAGCUUGAUGGUGAGGUAAUGGCUCACCAUGGCUUCGACGGGUAGCCGGCCUGAGAGGGUGACCGGUCACACUGGGACUGAGACACGGCCCAGACUCCUACGGGAGGCAGCAGUGGGGAAUAUUGGACAAUGGGCGGAAGCCUGAUCCAGCAACGCCGCGUGAGGGAUGACGGCCUUCGGGUUGUAAACCUCUUUCAGCAGGACGAAGCGCAAGUGACGGUACCUGCAGAAGAAGCACCGGCCAACUACGUGCCAGCCGCCGCAGUAA
rnacentral:rRNA from 1 species